rnacentral:lncRNA from 1 species
UGACGUUUUAAUUGAUAUACUACCAUUUUACAAUUGAUAGAGAAAAGCAAAAUUCCCAUAAAUCAUGCAAGAUUUCCUUCCCAAAAAGAAUUUCAAUGCAGAUUGAUUUGACACAUUUCAUGAGGAAUAUGCAAAGGAUUUACUUAGUAGAGGAUGCAUGAUAAGUGUAGGCUAAAGUGUACUCACAAGUUCUGUCACACCCCGAACCCAUCAUCUAGGUUGAUCAUAUGACACGGCUGCAUAAACCCUUAGACAAUCCCAG